rnacentral:rRNA from 1 species
UACGUAGGGGGCAAGCGUUAUCCGGAUUUAUUGGGCGUAAAGAGCUCGUAGGCGGCCGUUCGCGUCGGAUGUGAAAGCUCAGGGCUCAACCCUGAGAUGCCAUUCGAUACGGGACGGCUAGAGGUAGGUAGGGGAGAGUGGAAUUCCUGGUGUAGCGGUGAAAUGCGCAGAUAUCAGGAGGAACACCGGUGGCGAAGGCGGCUCUCUGGGCCUUACCUGACGCUGAGGAGCGAAAGCUGGGGGAGCGAACAGG